rnacentral:rRNA from 1 species
CAGUCGCCACGGUAAAACGAAGGGGGCUAGCGUUGUUCGGAAUUACUGGGCGUAAAGCGCACGUAGGCGGACAUUUAAGUCAGGGGUGAAAUCCCGGGGCUCAACCCCGGAACUGCCUUUGAUACUGGGUGUCUAGAGUAUGGAAGAGGUGAGUGGAAUUCCGAGUGAAGAGGUGAAAUUCGUAGAUAUUCGGAGGAACACCAGUGGCGAAGGCGGCUCACUGGUCCAUUACUGACGCUGAGGUGCGAAAGCGUGGGGAGCAAACAGGAUUAGAUACCCGCGUAGUCCCUGUCUCUUAUAC